GCGUGGGUAGCAAACAGGAUUAGAUACCCUGGUAGUCCACGCCGUAAACGAUGAGCACUAGGUGUUGGGCCCGUUAGGGCUCAGUGCCGCAGUUAACGCAAUAAGUGCUCCGCCUGGGGAGUACGCUCGCAAGAGUAAAACUCAAAGGAAUUGACGGGGACCCGCACAAGCAGCGGAGCAUGUGGUUUAAUUCGAAGCAACGCGAAGAACCUUACCAGGGCUUGACAUUUAGGUGAAGCGGCGGAAACGUCGUGGCCGAAAGGAGCCUAAACAGGUGGUGCAUGGCUGUCGUCAGCUCGUGUCGUGAGAUGUUAGGUUAAGUCCUGCAACGAGCGCAACCCUCGUCGUAUGUUGCCAGCGGUUAGGCCGGGCACCCAUACGAGACCGCCGGCGUCAAGCCGGAGGAAGGUGGGGACGACGUCAAGUCAUCAUGCCCCUUAUGUCCUGGGCUACACACGUGCUACAAUGGCCGGCACAAUGGGCUGCCAACCCGCGAGGGUGAGCGAAUCCCUAAAGCCGGUCCCAGUUCGGAUUGGAGGCUGCAACCCGCCUCCAUGAAGUCGGAGUUGCUAGUAAUCGCGGAUCAGCACGCCGCGGUGAAUGCGUUCCCGGGCCUUGUACACACCGCCCGUCACACCACCCGAGUCGUCUGCACCCGAAGUCGCCGGCCCAACCCGCGAGGGGGGGAGGCGCCGAAGGUGUGGAGGGUAAGGGGGGUGAAGUCGUAACAAGGUAGCCGUACCGGAAGGUGCGGCUG
rnacentral:rRNA from 1 species